CGAAAGCCUGACGGAGCAACGCCGCGUGAGGGAUGAAGGCCUCUGGGCUGUAAACCUCUUUUCUCAAGGAAGAAGAUCUGACGGUACUUGAGGAAUAAGCCACGGCUAAUUCCGUGCCAGCAGCCGCGGUAAUACGGGAGUGGCAAGCGUUAUCCGGAAUCAUUGGGCGUAAAGCGUCCGCAGGCGGCCUUGUAAGUCUGUCGUUAAAGCGUGGAGCUUAACUCCAUUUAAGCGAUGGAAACUGCAAGGCUAGAGUGUGGUAGGGGCAGAGGGAAUUCCCGGUGUAGCGGUGAAAUGCGUAGAUAUCGGGAAGAACACCAGUGGCGAAGGCGCUCUGCUGGGCCAUAACUGACGCUCAUGGACGAAAGCCAGGGGAGCG
rnacentral:rRNA from 1 species